rnacentral:rRNA from 1 species
GAUGAACGCUAGCGGCAGGCUUAACACAUGCAAGUCGAGGGGCAGCACGUCUUCGGAUGGUGGCGACCGGCGCACGGGUGCGUAACGCGUAUACAACCUACCUUAUAGAGGGGAAUAGCCCAGAGAAAUUUGGAUUAAUGCCCCAUAGUAUUAUUGAAUAGCAUUAUUUGAUGAUUAAACAUUUAUGGCUAUAAGAUGGGUAUGCGUUCUAUUAGCUAGAUGGUAAGGUAACGGCUUACCAUGGCGACGAUAGAUAGGGGUCCUGAGAGGGAGAUCCCCCACACUGGUACUGAGACACGGACCAGACUCCUACGGGAGGCAGCAGUGAGGAAUAUUGGACAAUGGGCGAGAGCCUGAUCCAGCCAUGCCGCGUGCAGGAAGACGGCCCUAUGGGUUGUAAACUGCUCUUAUACGGGAAGAAACACUCCUUCGUGAAGGAUCUUGACGGUACCGUAAGAAUAAGGAUCGGCUAACUCCGUGGCAGCAGCCG